rnacentral:rRNA from 1 species
UACGAAGGGGGCUAGCGUUGCUCGGAAUCACUGGGCGUAAAGGGCGCGUAGGCGGCCAUUCAAGUCAGAGGUGAAAGCCCAAGGCUCAACCUUGGAACUGCCUUUGAUACUGUUUGGCUUGAGACCGGUAGAGGUAAGUGGAACCGCGAGUGUAGAGGUGAAAUUCGUAGAUAUUCGCAAGAACACCAGUGGCGAAGGCGGCUUACUGGACCGGUUCUGACGCUGAGGCGCGAAAGCGUGGGGAGCAAACAGG